AUUGAACGCUGGCGGCAGGCCUAGCACAUGCAAGUCGAGCGGAUGAAGGGAGCUUGCUCCUGGAUUCAGCGGCGGACGGGUGAGUAAUGCCUAGGAAUCUGCCUGGUAGUGGGGGAUAACGUCCGGAAACGGGCGCUAAUACCGCAUACGUCCUGAGGGAGAAAGUGGGGGAUCUUCGGACCUCACGCUAUCAGAUGAGCCUAGGUCGGAUUAGCUAGUUGGUGGGGUAAAGGCCUACCAAGGCGACGAUCCGUAACUGGUCUGAGAGGAUGAUCAGUCACCCUGGAACUGAGACACGGUCCAGACUCCUACGGGAGGCAGCAGUGGGGAAUAUUGGACAAUGGGCGAAAGCCUGAUCCAGCCAUGCCGCGUGUGUGAAGAAGGUCUUCGGAUUGUAAAGCACUUUAAGUUGGGAGGAAGGGCAGUAAGUUAAUACCUUGCUGUUUUGACGUUACCAACAGAAUAAGCACCGGCUAACUUCGUG
rnacentral:rRNA from 1 species